ACAAACAUUUGGCAAGUGGAACAAGGAAGUAACUGAAUACAACAUUGAUGAUUAACUGAAUAUAAUACAAGAGAUUGUUAGAAAUAAAUAAUGCUGCAGCAAUAAUCUUUAACAUUAACUGUGCUGAACUUGGUAUUUACAUAUAUGGAAACAAAUGUUGGGUUUUUAUUUGCAACAGAGCUCUAAAGGUUGUGACAUGAUGUAAAUGAUGUAUGAAUUCUAGAUGUAGUUUGUGUGCUUGGAUUUUUACUGUUGUUAAUGUCAAAGUUCUUCAAGAUAAAAAACUUUUACCUAUAGGUGAAAAUUAUUUUUAAACCAUGGAUAAGUGCCGUCCAACAAAACACAAAAACCUUUGUGGAUCAGCGUCAUGUCCCCACAUGGUGCAGGCACCGACUGUGAUAUCAAUGGUGGGACUACCUGCCCGUGGAAAGACAUACAUGUCCAAGAAGCUGACCAGAUACCUCAACUGGAUCGGAAUACGCACCAAAGUGUUCAAUGUGGGCGAAUAUCGAAGGGCUGCCACUGACCAGUAUCGGAAUCAUAAUUUUUUCGAUACAUCCAAUUCAGAAGCUUUGGCUCUAAGACAGAAGUGUGCCCUGAUGGCAAUAGAUGAUGCGUGUAACUUUCUACUGGGAGGUGGGGAAGUUGCAGUGAUUGAUGCGACCAACACGACUAGAGAGCGUAGGAAGCUGUUGGAGGAGAUUAUCUGUCAAAAACACAACUUCCGUUUGUUCUUUGUUGAGUCUGUAUGCGACGACAUCAACAUCAUUGAGGCUAAUAUUCUGGAAGUGAAGGUGUGCAGCCCGGACUAUCUGGGCAUGGACAAGAACGAGGCCGUGGAAGACUUCCUGAAAAGGAUCGAUCACUACCGGGUCCAUUAUGAGGCCAUGGACUGCGGUCACGAUAAGGACCUCUCCUUUAUACAGAUCUUCAACCAGGGCGAGAGGUUCCUGGUGAACAAACUUGCUGGCCACCUGCAAAGUAGAGUUGUGUAUUACUUGAUGAACAUCCAUGUUCUACCAAGAACCAUUUACUUGACUAGACAUGGAGAGAGUAUGAUGAACCUGAGGGGUCGUAUAGGAGGAGACAGUGAACUCUCACCUCGAGGCAUGGAGUAUGCGAAGGAGCUUGCCAAGUUUGUGGUGGCCGAAAACAUUCCCAACCUGAAGGUGUGGACCAGUGAGCUGACGCGCACCAUCCAGACAGCGCAGCACAUCAAGGCCCCCAAAGCUCAUUGGAAGGCUCUAAACGAAAUAGACGCUGGUAUAUGUGAAGGCAUGACCUACGAAGAGAUAGCCGAGAAAUAUCCUGAAGAGUUUGCCAAGCGAGACCAGGAUAAAUACCACUAUAGAUACCCCACUGGAGAGUCCUAUCAAGACCUGGUUGCCAGACUGGAGCCUGUUAUCAUGGAGCUGGAGAGACAGGAGAAUGUUAUGGUGGUGUGUCACCAGGCAGUGGCCCGUUGUCUGCUGGCCUAUUUCCAGGACAAAUCCUCAGUUGAGAUUCCGUAUGUACCAGUACCUCAAGAAUCAUUGGUGGAAAUGAAAAUCACAGGAUUCGGGGAAUGUCAAAUGAGAGUUAUCCCCCUCCUCAGAGGAUCUGCCGUACCUGAAGGUUCCCCUACACACGGUCAUCAAGCUCACGCCCGUGGCGUAUGGUUGUAGGGUGGAGUACGUUAGCCUCAACAUCCCCGCCGUCAACACCCACCGGGAACGACCGGUGAAUAUUGACUCAGAGCGUUCAGUCCAAGAUGCGCUCUCCACUGUACUAGAUGAAGAGAAGGAGAUCCAAUAGAAAUGGCUGAGCUUGGUAGUCAGCAGCCAAUCAGGAGCAGCAUAUAAUGGCCACAUGGGCAUGAUGUUUUCAGGCUAAUAAUAGAUUACCAAUAGAAAUGGCAGAAAAAGUCUUAUGAAUGUAGAUAAAUGUUAAGAUUUUUUUCACUUGUUUCUAUAAUGCAAUGUCAGUAUACUUCUAAACCUAUGGUAUUGAACUUGGUUGUAAGCUUGCUCAAUUAUUGGUAUGCCAUUAUUAUGCCCCCCUUCGAAGAAGAGGGGGUAUAUUGCUUUGCUCAUGUCGGUCAGUCGGUAGGUCGGUUGGUCGGUCGGUCGGUCCGUCCACCAGGUGGUUGUCAGACGAUAACUCAAGAACGCUUGGGCCUAGGAUCAUGAAACUUCAUAGGUACAUUGAUCAUGACUUGCAGAUGACCCCUAUUGAUUUUGAGGUCACUAGGUCAAAGGUCAAGAUCAAGGUGACCCGAAAUAGUAAAAUGGUUUCCGGAUGAUAACUCAAGAACGCAUACGCCUAGGAUCAUGAAACUUCAUGGGUAGAUUUAUCAUGACUCGCAGAUGACCCCUAUUGAUUUUGAGGUCACUAGGUCUAAGGUCAAGGUCACGGUGAUCCGAAAUAGUAAAAUGGUUUCCGGAUGAUAACUCAAGAACGCAUACGCCUAGUAUCAUGAAACUUCAUGGGUAGAUUGAUCAUGACUCGCAGAUGACCCCUAUUGAUUUUGAGGUUACUAGGUCAAAGGUCAAGGUCACGGUGACCCGAAAUAGUAAAAUGAUUUUCGGAUGAUAAUUUAGAACGCAUAUGCCUAGGAUCAUGAAACUUUAUAGGUAGAUUGAUCAUGACAGGCAGAUGAUCCCUAUUGAUUUUCAGGUCACUAGGUCAAAGGUCAAGGUCACGGUGACCCGAAAUAGUAAAAUGAUUUUCGGAUGAUAACUCAAGAACGCUAUUCCUAGGAUCAUGAAACUUCAUAGGUAGAUUGAUCAUGACUCGCAGGUGACCCCUAUUGAUUUUGAGGUCACAAGGUCAAAGGUCAAGGUCAUGGUGACCCGAAAUAGUAAAAUGAUUUUUGGAUGAUAACUCAAGAACGCUUUUGCCUAGGAUCAUGACACUUCAUAGGUACAUUGAUAGUGACUUGCAGAUGACCCCUAUCGAUUUUCAGGUCACUAGGUCAAAGGUCAAGGUCACAGUGACAAAAGUCGUAUUCACACAAUGGCUGCCAGUACAAUGGACAGCCCAUAUGGGGGGCAUGCAUGUUUUACAAACAACCCUUGUUAAACAUUUUAAUUCAGGUGGUGGUAUUUUUUCUUUCUUGUUGUAUAUAGAUCAUUUUUAUCUCGACUUUUUCCAAGAAAACCGGAGGUAUUGUCAUAGCCAGCUCGUUGUCUGCCGUCUGCCGUGCUAAAACCUUAACAUUGGCUCUAAAAUCAAAGUGCUUCCACCUACAACUUUGAAACUUCAUAUGUAGAUGCACCUUGAUGAGUUCUACACGCCACACCCAUUUUUGGGUCACUAGGACAAAGGUCACGCUCACUGUGACCUCUAAAAAAAUAAAUAAAAAAAUAAUAAAAAAAUUCUGACAAGCUUUCAUUCAAAACUGCACCCACAGCCGAGUGUUGGCACUUGUUAUGCGGUGCUCUUGUUUAUUAGCUGGGCUGUUUGCGGAGAGAAAACCCGAGGUAUUGUCAUAGCCAGCUCGUUGUGUCGUCCGCCGUCCAUGUCGUGCUAAACCUUAACAUUUUGUCAAGGUUUUGAACAUUGGCUAUAAAAUGAAAGUGCUUCCACCUACAACUUUGAAGCUUCAUAUGUAGCUGUACCUUGAUGAGUUCUACACGCCUCACCCAUAUUUGGGUCACUAGGUCAAAGGUCAAGGUCAAUGUGACCUCUAAAAAAAAAAUCACAAGCUUUCAUUUAUUAAAAAAUGCACCGAGCGUUGGCACCCUUUAUGCGAUGCUCUUGUUCUAUUAUUUUGGACUAUUGACUUAUGCAGAUUUGUUUCUGAAAUUCUCAAAUGUUGUAAUGCAACAUCCUGGAUAUCUUUCCAUAUUUUUUGCUUCUUGGCACUUUUCUUGUCAAAGAUAUAAGCAGAGUUGUGUAAGAAUUGUUUCAUUUUUUAUGUGUAUAUCUUAACUUUUAUUUCAGUUUAUAUUAGAGCUUGUGCAGGUAUUUUGGAAUUGCUUGUACAUGUGUAUUGCCAAACAUUUUCUGUCUCUAUAUUUUUCUUAUUAUAUAUUGUAUAAACAUUGAUAUGA